rnacentral:rRNA from 1 species
GACGAACGCUGGCGGCGUGCCUAAUACAUGCAAGUUGAGCGCUGAAGGUUGGUACUUGUACCAACUGGAUGAGCAGCGAACGGGUGAGUAACGCGUGGGGAAUCUGCCUUUGAGCGGGGGACAACAUUUGGAAACGAAUGCUAAUACCGCAUAAAAACUUUAAACACAAGUUUUAAGUUUGAAAGAUGCAAUUGCAUCACUCAAAGAUGAUCCCGCGUUGUAUUAGCUAGUUGGUGAGGUAAAGGCUCACCAAGGCGAUGAUACAUAGCCGACCUGAGAGGGUGAUCGGCCACAUUGGGACUGAGACACGGCCCAAACUCCUACGGGAGGCAGCAGGAGGGAAUCUUCGGCAAUGGAAGAAAGUCUGACCGAGCAACGCCGCGUGAGUGAAGAAGGUUUUCGGAUCGUAAAACUCUGUUGGUAGAGAAGAACGUUGGUGAGAGUGGAAAGCUCAUCAAGUGACGGUAACUACCCAGAAAGGGACGGCUAACUACGUG